rnacentral:rRNA from 1 species
UACACAUGCAGUCGAGCGGCAGCACAAGUAAGUUUACUUAUGAGGUGGCGAGCGGCGGACGGGUGAGUAAUGCCUAGGGAUCUGCCCAGUCGAGGGGGAUAACAGUUGGAAACGACUGCUAAUACCGCAUACGCCCUACGGGGGAAAGAGGGGGACCUUCGGGCCUCUCGCGAUUGGAUGAACCUAGGUGGGAUUAGCUAGUUGGUGAGGUAAUGGCUCACCAAGGCGACGAUCCCUAGCUGUUCUGAGAGGAUGAUCAGCCACACUGGGACUGAGACACGGCCCAGACUCCUACGGGAGGCAGCAGUGGGGAAUAUUGCACAAUGGGGGAAACCCUGAUGCAGCCAUGCCGCGUGUGUGAAGAAGGCCUUCGGGUUGUAAAGCACUUUCAGUAGGGAGGAAAGGGUGAGUCUUAAUACGGCUCAUCUGUGACGUUACCUACAGAAGAAGGACCGGCUAACUCCGUGCCAGCAGCCGCGGUAAUACGGAGGGUCCGAGCGUUAAUCGGAAUUACUGGGCGUAAAGCGUGCGCAGGCGGUUUGUUAAGCGAGAUGUGAAAGCCCUGGGCUCAACCUAGG